AGCGCAUACGGUGGAUGCCUUGGCAGUCAGAGGCGAUGAAAGACGUGGUAGCCUGCGAAAAGCUUCGGGGAGUCGGCAAACAGACUUUGAUCCGGAGAUCUCUGAAUGGGGGAACCCACCUAGGAUAACCUAGGUAUCUUGUACUGAAUCCAUAGGUGCAAGAGGCGAACCAGGGGAACUGAAACAUCUAAGUACCCUGAGGAAAAGAAAUCAACCGAGAUUCCCUUAGUAGUGGCGAGCGAACGGGGAUUAGCCCUUAAGCUUCAUUGAUUUUAGCGGAACGCUCUGGAAAGUGCGGCCAUAGUGGGUGAUAGCCCCGUACGCGAAAGGAUCUUUGAAGUGAAAUCGAGUAGGACGGAGCACGAGAAACUUUGUCUGAACAUGGGGGGACCAUCCUCCAAGGCUAAAUACUACUGACUGACCGAUAGUGAACCAGUACCGUGAGGGAAAGGCGAAAAGAACCCCGGAGAGGGGAGUGAAAUAGAACCUGAAACCGUAUGCGUACAAGCAGUGGGAGCCUACUUGUUAGGUGACUGCGUACCUUUUGUAUAAUGGGUCAGCGACUUAUAUUCAGUGGCGAGCUUAACCGUAUAGGGUAGGCGUAGCGAAAGCGAGUCUUAAUAGGGCGUUUAGUCGCUGGGUAUAGACCCGAAACCGGGCGAUCUAUCCAUGAGCAGGUUGAAGGUUAGGUAACACUGACUGGAGGACCGAACCCACUCCCGUUGAAAAGGUAGGGGAUGACUUGUGGAUCGGAGUGAAAGGCUAAUCAAGCUCGGAGAUAGCUGGUUCUCCUCGAAAGCUAUUUAGGUAGCGCCUCAUGUAUCACUCUGGGGGGUAGAGCACUGUUUCGGCUAGGGGGUCAUCCCGACUUACCAAACCGAUGCAAACUCCGAAUACCCAGAAGUGCCGAGCAUGGGAGACACACGGCGGGUGCUAACGUCCGUCGUGAAAAGGGAAACAACCCAGACCGCCAGCUAAGGUCCCAAAGUUGUGGUUAAGUGGUAAACGAUGUGGGAAGGCUUAGACAGCUAGGAGGUUGGCUUAGAAGCAGCCACCCUUUAAAGAAAGCGUAAUAGCUCACUAGUCGAGUCGGCCUGCGCGGAAGAUGUAACGGGGCUCAAACCACACACCGAAGCUGCGGGUGUCACGUAAGUGACGCGGUAGAGGAGCGUUCUGUAAGCCUGUGAAGGUGAGUUGAGAAGCUUGCUGGAGGUAUCAGAAGUGCGAAUGCUGACAUGAGUAACGACAAUGGGUGUGAAAAACAUCCACGCCGAAAGACCAAGGGUUCCUGCGCAACGUUAAUCGACGCAGGGUUAGUCGGUUCCUAAGGCGAGGCUGAAAAGCGUAGUCGAUGGGAAACAGGUUAAUAUUCCUGUACUUCUGGUUACUGCGAUGGAGGGACGGAGAAGGCUAGGCCAGCUUGGCGUUGGUUGUCCAAGUUUAAGGUGGUAGGCUGAAAUCUUAGGUAAAUCCGGGGUUUCAAGGCCGAGAGCUGAUGACGAGUCGUCUUUUAGAUGACGAAGUGGUUGAUGCCAUGCUUCCAAGAAAAGCUUCUAAGCUUCAGGUAACCAGGAACCGUACCCCAAACCGACACAGGUGGUCGGGUAGAGAAUACCAAGGCGCUUGAGAGAACUCGGGUGAAGGAACUAGGCAAAAUGGCACCGUAACUUCGGGAGAAGGUGCGCCGGCUAGGGUGAAGGAUUUACUCCGUAAGCUCUGGCUGGUCGAAGAUACCAGGCCGCUGCGACUGUUUAUUAAAAACACAGCACUCUGCAAACACGAAAGUGGACGUAUAGGGUGUGACGCCUGCCCGGUGCCGGAAGGUUAAUUGAUGGGGUUAGCGCAAGCGAAGCUCUUGAUCGAAGCCCCGGUAAACGGCGGCCGUAACUAUAACGGUCCUAAGGUAGCGAAAUUCCUUGUCGGGUAAGUUCCGACCUGCACGAAUGGCGUAACGAUGGCGGCGCUGUCUCCACCCGAGACUCAGUGAAAUUGAAAUCGCUGUGAAGAUGCAGUGUAUCCGCGGCUAGACGGAAAGACCCCGUGAACCUUUACUGUAGCUUUGCACUGGACUUUGAGCCUGCUUGUGUAGGAUAGGUGGGAGGCUUUGAAGCGUGGACGCCAGUUCGCGUGGAGCCAUCCUUGAAAUACCACCCUGGCAUGCUUGAGGUUCUAACUCUGGUCCGUAAUCCGGAUCGAGGACAGUGUAUGGUGGGCAGUUUGACUGGGGCGGUCUCCUCCUAAAGAGUAACGGAGGAGUACGAAGGUGCGCUCAGACCGG
rnacentral:rRNA from 1 species